GCCUAUGGCCAUACCACCCUGAAAGCGCCUGAUCUCGGAAGCUAAGCAGGCUCGGGCCUGUUUAGUACUUGGAUGGGAGACCGCCUGGAAUACCAGGUGUUGUAGGCU
rnacentral:rRNA from 1 species